rnacentral:lncRNA from 1 species
CCGCUCAUUGCCAUGACUUGCUGGGGAAGACGAGAGGAGGUCAGCGGUGAGCACAAACAUAGAGCCUCCUGUAGGGGCCCUUGAGGAUGGCCGAGCCGGUCUUCAAGGGUGGUUUAAAUAAUGAGCUCUGUGUGACUGAAUAAAAGUAGAGCUCAAGAUAAAAUCUGAAAUAAAUGAAAAGCAAUUGGUAAACAGCUGCUGUCACAUGCUCUGUUGUGUCUUUGAUGAGUUUCAAUUAAAAAUAGCCCUAAUACAUCCAAAAAAAAAAAAAAAACCCAUGGCGAAUUCCCUUUAUUGUCCCUUUAAUGUGUUACUAAGGAGUUAUUGGUAUCAUUUCAUGGCUCCAGCACAAAUGCCUCUAGGAUUUAUUGCUGGGUUCACAUCUCUGCUCUUUUAUGGAUUUCUUCCAAGAGGGGCUUGAAUCCGGGGCUCCCAUUAUAUGUCCCUUGUGGUUGGUUGGCUGGAGCAAGCUGCAUCAGCAAAUGGCAAUAAAGCUCACCAAGGCAACAACUGUUCUUCACCAGUGUAGUUUGAUUUAGAGCAGAAUGUUUCCAGAUGGGUUCUGAUGUAACCCUUUUCCUUCCAUCUCCCGAUGACACUGAAACUGAAAAAUCAGUCGCAGCACCCAGGUUUUGCUGUCCGUGAACAUGGGGUUCCUGGGGUCAGCAGCGUGGCUAGUGCCUUCCUCAGUCCCGCUUCUUUAACCAGAGGCGGUGGCCAGACCUCAUGAGCCAUCAUCUAGCAGUUACAUUACUGCGUGACAAACCGUCGGAGAGAAAGCUUAGAUCUGCCAGGCUCUACCCCCAGGAAGGAGAGGCCGACCGUCGGUGGUACCAGCUCUAACAGAAAGCCAGUCUUCGGCCGCCGGUGGCCUGCGUGGGCUGGGCUGGGCAGCCAGUGCCUGCAGACUUCUCGAACCUGCCCCCGGGGGUGCUCCCUGGCUCAGCCUCUGUGGAGGAGGCACGAUCAGCGCCAUGAAAGGAGCUUGAGUUCGGGGACACUAAUUAGAGGACUGUCUCCCAUGGAAGUGCAACCCCUGAGCCACCAAGCAGGGAAGACGGGCUGUCCGGCGUGCAUCUGGCUUGGCAAGCAGGCCCGGACACAAUACUCUCUCGUCCUGUACGUGCCAGGCCAAGGAAGGACCGCGAUCAGACUUCCUGUCUUCAUUGCCACACCCUCAGAAAAUCGUACUGAGGAAAAUGUGAGAUUUCCGUUUUAACAGUGAUGGGGAGAGGACGUCUUUCUCAAGCACGACCCAAGUCCAUAAAACAUAAAAACAGAUUUCACUGUAUAAAAUCGCAACACUUCCAUACUGCAAGGAUACUAUAAGCAAAAUUAGAAGAUAAAUGACAUUUCCAAAGAGCGGAGAUAAUGGUGGCCACCUAAAUCUGAAUCUCCCUGCACACCCUCCAAACAACUGUACAGGUCAACAAAAAGAAACACACACACACACACACACACACACACACACACACAUCUCAUACUUUCAUCUUAACUAGAAAUCCCAAUAACACUACAAACUUCAUAUUAUCUGUAAUUCAGAAAAAACACAUCAAUUUACAGCAGCACGAGACCUGGACCUGCCACCACAAGUUUUGCAGAGACCUGGGAGGGCAUCUCCGGAAAAUCUACGUGGAAGAGCGGAGAGGGAAGGAAGUGAAGACAGCUCUCAGAAAGAUAAAGGCCAUCUUGGGUGUGAAGAUAUUGAAUGCGUUCUGGUAUCUAGGAGCACUGACUGUGGUACAGAAACUGCAGAGUGAUGUGAGAUUCGAAAAAGCCGUUCUGGAAAGGCUGGGGAAGAAACGGAUGGAAAAGUCGAGGCAAUCUUUGGAUACUUCCUAGAGAAGGCAAAAAGAAACAUGGGAGAAAGAUUCAAAGACUCGGGAUCUGUCAAGACAAAGAAAACCAAAAUUAAAAUAAAAUAAAAUGUAAAAUAUAAAAUAAAAUAAACACAAACACUAUUUGGGCCAAA